rnacentral:rRNA from 1 species
GGUGGUGCAUGGUUGUCGUCAGCUCGUGUCGUGAGAUGUUGGGUUAAGUCCCGCAACGAGCGCAACCCUUAAGCUUAGUUGCCAGCAUUAAGUUGGGCACUCUAAGUUGACUGCCGGUGACAAACCGGAGGAAGGUGGGGAUGACGUCAAAUCAUCAUGCCCCUUAUGAUUUGGGCUACACACGUGCUACAAUGGACAAUACAAAGGGCAGCGAAACCGCGAGGUCAAGCAAAUCCCAUAAAGUUGUUCUCAGUUCGGAUUGUAGUCUGCAACUCGACUACAUGAAGCUGGAAUCGCUAGUAAUCGUAGAUCAGCAUGCUACGGUGAAUACGUUCCCGGGUCUUGUACAC